rnacentral:rRNA from 1 species
AAUGAACGUUGGCGGCGUGGAUUAGGCAUGCAAGUCGCGCGAGAAGUCAUUUAGCUUGCUAAAAGACGGACAGCGGCGGCAGGGAGAGUAACGCGUGGUUAUGUACCCUCGAGACCGGGAUAGUGUCGGGAAACUGGCAGUAAUACCGGAUAACAUCUUCGGAUCAAAUGGUGUGGUUCCGCUGCAGGAUCGGACCGCGUACGUUUAGCAAGUUGGAGGGGUAAUGGCCCACCAAGGCUUAGAUGGUUACCGGGUGUGAGAGCAUGGCCCGGCUCACUGGGACUGAGACACUGCCCAGACAUCUACGGAUGGCUGCAGUCGAGAAUCUUCGGCAAUGGACGAAAGUCUGACCGAGCGGCGCCGCGUGCGGGAUGAAGGCCUUCGGGUUGUAAACCGCUGUCAGUUAGGAGGAAAUCUAUGAGGGUUCUCUCUCAUAGUUGACCGAUUUUCAGAGGAAGGACGGGCUAAGUUCGUGCCAGCAGCCGCGGUA